CUACCACACACGAGACACUGAAUAGCAGCAAGAAAACUGAGCAGUUUUGUUAAUCUCGCUGGUGUUUGGCAACCUCUCAGCAGCAGCCACAGAGGCACUACAGCUGUCUGUCUGCAGCCCCAGGAACACAAUGCUGCAUUAUUUUAUAUUUGGAGAUCAUCUUUCCAAUCAUAAGGUCUGGAAUGUUGUAUAUAUUUACUUCUCCGGGAGGAAAGCUUCCUACUUCAACAAUCAACAGAUUUUUUCAGGACUUGCUGUCUUGCGUGUCAGAGAGAGAAAUGCAAUGAUGCUACCAAAGCGCUUUGGGGUCCUAAGGUGGAAAUACAAAGUAUUACAUGUGUUAACUCACAUUGAUCCCGUUCCCCCUUCUCCAAUAUUAUUUCGGUGAAGAAGAGACUAAAAGAAGAAGCAUAAUGCAACAAAUAUAUAUGAUGAAGCGUUUUAAUGCUGUGUCUCUCAGACGGCUUUACUUUAUCUGUCUUGUAGAUAAUACGCAUUUAAAAUUUAAAAACAAUGCACUGGUAGUAAACAAAGGGGUGUUGUCCUUUUGCAUGCCCAA